CUGGCACCCAUGACAGUCUGCCUAAAAACCAGCCCUGGUGGGGCAGACUCGAGAACCUGGCGUG
rfam:S.scrofa phgpx gene for phospholipid hydroperoxide glutathione peroxidase